AAAGGACAUAAGAAAUAGGAAGUAAAGAAGAGGAAACAGAUGGGGUCUUUAACUUCGAAGAAGAGAGCAGCCAGGAUUGCAUUUCAUAGACCGCUCAUCAUCAGGAUCCUUGAGCCAGCUGCACCUCAGAUGCCGCACUAGUGCACUGGGUGAGGAAAACCUCACACGAUUAAACACAGCGCACAGAUGGAAAAAGUGAGCAGCAGAAAGAUCAAGGAGCCACGGUAUAAUCAGACCAGAAGGGAGCUGUUGAGGUCUGACCCUCAGCCCUUGCACUGCAUUUACUGAUUUCAGAUGUUGUCCUCACUUUAGAAGAACAUUGAUCAUGUUGCAAAAGUGCUGAACUCUUUUAUUUCCUUUAACUAUAUAGUAUAGAACUUUAUUACAUUUUCCUGUCAAGUUAGAUAGACUUAAAGAUGUGCAUGCAUAAAUCAAACUAUCAACAAGUCUUUAUUGAGCUCCAGCUAUGUUCAGGCAUUGGGUUAGGCUCUGUGUCUUGUCUAAAUACAGUGACAAUGAAUCCCUGCCAUCCAGAAGGACACCCCAGGUUCAUUCACUCAUUGGGUUACUGGUCCAGUACUUACUUAGCACCUACUGUGAGACAGACACUUUUCAAGUACUAUCGAUACAACUAUCAGUAAUUUUU